rnacentral:misc_RNA from 1 species
GAUGAAGAACGCAGCGAAAUGCGAUACUUGGUGUGAAUUGCAGAAUCCCGUGAACCAUCGAGUCUUUGAACGCAAGUUGCGCCUCAAGCCAUUAGGUUGAGGGCACGUCUGUCUGGGCGUCACAUAUCGUUGCCUGAUGCCAGUUUCCUCGUGAUGGGUGACUGUGCAGGGCGAAUGAUGGCUUCCCGUGAGCAUUGUUGCCUCAUGGUUGGUUGAAAAUUGAGUCCUUGGUAGGGAGCGCCGUGAUAGAUGGUGGUUGAGUGACGAACGAGACCCACUCAUGUGAGACCCCUACCGAAUUUGGCCUUCAUGACCCACAUGCGUCUUUGGAACGCUCAUGACGAGACCUCAGGUCAGGCGGGGCUACCCGCUGAGUUUAAGCAUAUCAAUAAGCGGAGGA